rnacentral:rRNA from 1 species
GAGUUUGAUCCUGGCUCAGGACGAACGCUGGCGGCGUGCCUAACACAUGCAAGUCGAACGGAGUUGAACGGAGCUUGCUUUUUUCAACUCAGUGGCGGACGGGUGAGUAACGCGUGAGUAACCUGCCUUUCAGAGGGGGAUAACGUUCUGAAAAGAACGCUAAUACCGCAUAAGAUUGUAGUUUCGCAUGGAGCAGCAAUCAAAGGAGCAAUCCGCUGAAAGAUGGACUCGCGUCCGAUUAGAUAGUUGGCGGGGUAACGGCCCACCAAGUCGACGAUCGGUAGCCGGACUGAGAGGUUGAUCGGCCACAUUGGGACUGAGACACGGCCCAGACUCCUACGGGAGGCAGCAGUGAGGGAUAUUGGGCAAUGGGGGAAACCCUGACCCAGCAACGCCGCGUGAAGGAAGAAGUAUCUCGGUAUGUAAACUUCUAUCAGCAGGGAAGAUAAUGACGGUACCUGACUAAGAAGCCCCGGCUAACUACGUGCCAGCCGCCGCGGUAAUUC